UUUGCAGUCAUGCACAUGAAGAGCCAAAGGAACUGCAAAAGACACACAUAAGGCCCAAGAACCUCUUCUUGCGACAAGCGGCCAACGAGUUCUCACGGCGUCUUGGUGCUCCACAAGACUGCUCCAACAUUAAACGCCCGUUUCAAAGAA